UACUCUAAAGAGGCAGAGGUUUCUGGUUGCCAUAUUAAAUGCAAAAAUAACCCCUCUCUGUGGCCUAUAAGUAAAUAAAGUAUGCCGUCUAGGUGCCCUUAAAGUAUAAGAAACUGUAAAAGCAUGCCAUCUAAUGUUCUUUCUAUUGAUUAGGUGUUUAUAAGAAGCUCUUCAAGUAUAAUUUGCUGAGCAUCCCGGGCACUUCAGUUCACCCAGGGUUACUAGUUUGCAUUUUACUUUAACAUAAAAAAGGAUGUCUGUAUUCUCCUACUUAAGAAAAAA